rnacentral:rRNA from 1 species
GACUGUGCUAAGGUAGCAUAAUAAUUUGUCUUUUAAUUGAAGACUAGAAUGAAUGGGUUAACUUGAGCUAAUCUGUCUCUUUAUAGUUUUAUAAAUUUAAGUUUUAAGUGAAAACGCUUAAAUCAUUUAGAGGGACGAGAAGACCCUUCAGAUCUUCCCCAAUAAGGAAUGAAAGUUUCAACUUCACCUUUGAAGGUUACCUGGGAGGGGGUUUAAAUAUAAACUUUAAUUAAUAAUUAAAAGACAUUACAUUAACUCUGUCUAAUUUGUUGAUCCUCAUAGGAAAGAUUGACAAGAUACCUGAGGGAUAACAGCGUAA